CCUACGGGCGGCAGCAGUGAGGAAUAUUGGUCAAUGGGCGCGAGCCUGAACCAGCCAAGUAGCGUGAAGGAUGACUGCCCUACGGGUUGUAAACUUCUUUUAUAAAGGAAUAAAGUGAGGCACGUGUGCCUUUUUGUAUGUACUUUAUGAAUAAGGAUCGGCUAAUUCCGUGCCAGCAGCCGCGGUAAUACGGAGGAUCCGAGCGUUAUCCGGAUUUAUUGGGUUUAAAGGGAGCGUAGAUGGGUUGUUAAGUCUGUUGUGAAAGUUUUCGGCUCAACCGUAAAAUUGCAAUUGAUACUGGCGGUCUUGAGUACAGUUAAGGUAGGCGGAAUUCGUGGUGUAGCGGUGAAAUGCUUAGAUAUGACGAAGAACUCCGAUUGCGAAGGCAGCUUACUAAACUGCCACUGACAUUGAUGCUCGAAAGUGUGGGUAUCAAACAGGAUUAGAUACCCUGGUAGUC
rnacentral:rRNA from 1 species